rnacentral:rRNA from 1 species
UACGGGGGGAGCAAGCGUUGUUCGGAUUUACUGGGCGUAGAGGGCGCGUAGGCGGCCACGACAAGUCAGUUGUGAAAUCUCUGGGCUUAACUCAGAACGGUCAACUGAUACUGUCGGGCUAGAGUGCAGAAGGGGCAACUGGAAUUCUCGGUGUAGCGGUGAAAUGCGUAGAUAUCGAGAGGAACACCUGCGGCGAAGGCGGGUUGCUGGGCUGACACUGACGCUGAGGCGCGAAAGCUAGGGGAGCAAACGGG